CACGCCGCGUGAGUGAAGAACGUUUCGGAUCGUAAAACUCUGUUGUCAGGGACGAACAGUGCCGUUCGAAUAGGGCGGCGCCUUGACGGUACCUAACCAGAAAGCCACGGCUAACUACGUGCCAGCAGCCGCGGUAAUACGUAGGGGGCAAGCGUUGUCCGGAAUUAUUUGGGCGUAAAGCGCGCGCAGGCGGUCCUUUAACUCUGAUGUGAAAUCUUACGGCUCAACCGUAAACGUGCAUCGGAAACUGGGGAACUCUGAGUGCCGAAGAGGAGAGUGGAAUACCACGUGUACCGGUGAACUGCGUAGAGAUGUGGAGGAACACCAGUGGCGAAGGCGACUCUCUGGUCUGUAACUGACGCUGAGGAGCGAAAGCGUGGGGAGCGAACAGGAUUAGAUACCCUGGUAGUCCACGCCGUAAACCGAUGACGUGCUACGUGUCAAGGGGUAUCCGACCCUUAGUGCUUGAAGUUAACGGCAUUAAGCACUCCGACUGCGGAGUACGGCCGCCAGUGCUGAAACUCACAACAUUGACGGUGGCCCGAACAACGGUGGAGCAUGUGGUUUACACUCA
rnacentral:rRNA from 1 species